CCCUCACCUGAUGGUUUCUGGGCAAGGUCAGCACUGCUGGUAAGCGCUGUGCAAGUGCAGCAUGAGGAAAGAAAAAAUAUUGAAGUGACUGGUCAAGCGUAUAACUGCAGAGGGUACAUAUGUGAUUCUGAAGUACUAAUAUCACCUCAAGCACUGUUUUUGACUGCUGUAUUGCAGCCCCAGGAGAGCCCAGGGAGGCAAUCUCUCUGCUCUGAUCUGCAUGCCCUCUCAAGUCAAGUGGUCUCUGCUGAUCUGCAGAGUGAGUUACUCUUCAGACAGCUUUUGAAGAAGACGAGAAUGAGUUUCAGUGCUUUUACUUUCAAGACCAGUCAACCUGAAAAGGUUUUCUUCCUAACAGUCUGGCUCCAGUAGAAAAUACCAUGAAAUAUCUGUGGCAGAGCUGUCUGCAGCGGCACACCAGUGUGGGAGACAUGAAGACAGCAUCUAGCACAGAGAACAGGAGAACUGGAAGAGAAGCAGGUUUGGAAAUUUACAGCUGCUGAAUAAUGAUGCUUCUUCCCAUCUGUAGAUUUCAGAGCACUUCAUAGAAGAGGUAAGUAUCAGCACAGUGACUUGGAACAGUAAGUAAAAUGAAUUCCCACUCUGAAAAGCAGGGGUACAAUCUGAGCCCUUUUCACUCCCCUCAUCUUCACCAUGAAUAAAACUGCCUCUCUUGCAACUCCCCA
rnacentral:lncRNA from 1 species